GUGGAUUAGAUACCCUAGUAGUCCACGCUGUAAACGAUCGAUACUAGGUGUGCGGGGACUGACCCCCUGCGUGCCGCAGUUAACACAAUAAGUAUCGCACCUGGGGAGUACGAUCGCAAGGUUGAAACUCAAAGGAAUUGACGGGGGCCCGCACAAGCGGUGGAUUAUGUGGUUUAAUUCGAAGCAACGCGAAGAACCUUACCAGGGCUUGACAUGGGGAUGACCGGGUUAGAGAUAGCCCUUUCCUUCGGGACAUCCCACACAGGUGGUGCAUGGUCGUCGCCAACU
rnacentral:rRNA from 1 species